rnacentral:rRNA from 1 species
GACGUAGGGGGCCAGCGUUGUUCGGAAUUACUGGGUGUAAAGGGUUCGUAGGCGGUGUGGCAAGUUGGGAGUGAAAUCCCUGGGCUCAACCCAGGAACUGCCUUCUAGACUGCAGAUCUAGAGAUCAGGAGAGGCGAGCGGAAUUCCGAGUGUAGAGGUGAAAUUCGUAGAUAUUCGGAGGAACACCAGUGGCGAAGGCGGCUCGCUGGACUGAUACUGACGCUGAGGUGCGAAAGCGUGGGGAGCAAACAGG